UUGGAGGGCAAGUCUGGUGCCAGCAGCCGCGGUAAUUCCAGCUCCAAUAGCGUAUAUUAAAGUUGUUGCAGUUAGAAAGCUCGUAGUUGAAUUUCGGGAUUGACGUGAUGGUCAUGCCUUAAGGGGUAUGAACUGUUACUGUUGAUUUCUCACCUUCUGGAGAAACUUGAUGUCCUUUAUUGGGUGUCUUGCGGAUCCAGGACCUUUACCUUGAAAAAAUUAGAGUGUUUAAAGCAGGCAUUUUUGCUCGAAUACAUUAGCAUGGAAUAAUAGAAUAGGACGGCAUGGUUCUACUUUGUUGGUUUCUAGGAUCACCGUAAUGAUUAAUAGGGAUAGUUGGGGGCAUUAGUAUUCAAUUGUCAGAGGUGAAAUUCUUGGAUUUAUUGAAGACUAACUACUGCGAAAGCAUUUGCCAAGGAUGUUUUCAUUAAUCAAGAACGAAAGUUAGGGGAUCGAAGACGAUCAGAUACCGUCGUAGUCUUAACCAUAAACUAUGCCGACUAGGAAUCAGACGAUGUUAAUUUUUUAAUGACUCGUUCGGCGCCUUACGGGAAAC
rnacentral:rRNA from 1 species